rnacentral:rRNA from 1 species
GAUGAACGCUGGCGGCGUGCUUAACACAUGCAAGUCGAACGAAGCACCUUAUUCUGAUUUCUUCGGAAUGAAAAAUUUGGUGACUGAGUGGCGGACGGGUGAGUAACGCGUGGGUAACCUGCCUCAUACAGGGGGAUAACAGUUAGAAAUGACUGCUAAUACCGCAUAAGACCACAGCACCGCAUGGUGCAGUGGUAAAAACUCCGGUGGUAUGAGAUGGACCCGCGUCUGAUUAGGUAGUUGGUGGGGUAACGGCCUACCAAGCCGACGAUCAGUAGCCGACCUGAGAGGGCGACCGGCCACAUUGGGACUGAGACACGGCCCAAACUCCUACGGGAGGCAGCAGUGGGGAAUAUUGCACAAUGGGGAAACCCUGAUGCAGCGACGCCGCGUGGGCGAUGAAGUAUUUCGGUAUGUAAAGCUCUAUCAGCAGGGAAGAAAAUGACGGUACCUGACUAAGAAGCACCGGCUAAAUACGUGCCAGCAGCCGCGGUAA